rnacentral:lncRNA from 1 species
GGCCUGGCUGUUGGAGCCCUGGCUCUGGGGCUCUGGAAUCCCAAACCUGCAGAGGACCCCAGAGAACUUCAGCUGAUCUCAUCUGCAACCCUGUCAGACUGGGGUGGUUAAAUGGACAGGCAGGAGGAGGCAGGACAGCGGAUCCCUAUGGAUGGAGGUCUCAGUUCGAAGUCUGGAGCACUUUUCUUUGACACCUGAACUCCAAACUUGCUGCCAGCUGCUCACUCUCUGGACCUCUGAUGCCGUCCUUGAGGUGGAAGUCCGCCUGAGGAGCGUGUAUCGAAGUCUGUGUCCCUGUGACUGUGUGUGUGUGUGAUGGGGAGAGCACGUUCUCCGUAUGUGUGUGUAUAGAUGAUUGGAGAGUGUGUGUGUGGUCUUGGGCUUGGCUCUCCUGGGGAGCAUGGAGCGUGAAAUAAAGAGGCGGACGUUUUUGG